UACGUAGGGUGCAAGCGUUGUCCGGAAUUAUUGGGCGUAAAGAGCUCGUAGGCGGUUUGUCGCGUCUGCUGUGAAAACUCGGGGCUUAACCCCGGGCCUGCAGUGGGUACGGGCAGACUAGAGUGCGGUAGGGGAGACUGGAAUUCCUGGUGUAGCGGUGAAAUGCGCAGAUAUCAGGAGGAACACCAAUGGCGAAGGCAGCUCGCUGGGACGGUACUGACGCUGAGACGCGAAAGCCAGGGGAGCAAACGGG
rnacentral:rRNA from 1 species